rnacentral:rRNA from 1 species
CACGGUGAGUAACACGUAUCCAACCUGCCGUCUACUCUUGGACAGCCUUCUGAAAGGAAGAUUAAUACAAGAUGGCAUCAUGAGUCCGCAUGUUCACAUGAUUAAAGGUAUUCCGGUAGACGAUGGGGAUGCGUUCCAUUAGAUAGUAGGCGGGUAACGGCCCACCUAGUCUUCGAUGGAUAGGGGUUCUGAGAGGAAGGUCCCCCACAUUGGAACUGAGACACGGUCCAA